AGCGAACGCUGGCGGCAGGCCUAACACAUGCAAGUCGAACGAACCUUUCGGGGUUAGUGGCGGACGGGUGAGUAACACGUGGGAACGUGCCUUUAGGUUCGGAAUAACUCAGGGAAACUUGUGCUAAUACCGAAUGUGCCCUUCGGGGGAAAGAUUAAUCGCCUUUAGAGCGGCCCGCGUCUGAUUAGCUAGUUGGUUGAGGUAAUGGCUCACCAAGGCUACGAUCAGUAGCUGGUCUGAGAGGAUGAUCAGCCACAUUGGGACUGAGACACGGCCCAAACUCCUACGGGAGGCAGCAGUGGGGAAUCUUGCGCAAUGGGCGAAAGCCUGACGCAGCCAUGCCGCGUGAAUGAUGAAGGUCUUAGGAUUGUAAAAUUCUUUCACCGGGGACGAUAAUGACGGUACCCGGAGAAGAAGCCCCGGCUAACUUCGUG
rnacentral:rRNA from 1 species